CCCCAAUUUCUGCCAGGGUUUAUACACAUGUUUUGUGGGGAGAUGAUCCACCCCUCUCUGAGGACGUCAGGAUGUGACCAGUGCCCACUACCUGCAUGACUGAUACAAACAUUUAUUUGUAUUUGCAUGCAUGGGCUGUAACUGGCUGUAAAACAUUGAGAUUCUGUUUUAAGAAAAAGCCUAUGCAACAAUAAAUGGCAUCAUAUUAUAUUACAUCCUCUGUCCCUAAUUUUAGCAGUGAGCCCUCUUUCUCAAGCACUUUCUGGGGAGUUGUCUGACAGUUAGUUUGGUACAAUCUAAAUAUUAUCAAGAGGGCAUGAGGGAGCAUACACUGGGUGGCAGUUUCAAGGGCAGCAGAUAAAAACCAUAUUGUCUUUCAUUACAGAGCUAAGGGUCUAUAAGCAAAAUACAGCAUUUCGGAGACGAUUCAAUGAAAGACAUACAACCUGAACAAAAAAUGAGAAUGGCAGGAGGUCAUGCUCAGGAAGGCUAAGUGAACAGUACAAACGUAUUCUAUGGGCAAUGAAGGAGUUUCAGAUAUGGUGCUGAAUGACUCCAAGCAAAAUGAGAGUGCUGCCAACCAAAUCCUCAGGCCAAGCAAAAAACUACAGAUGGUGAAGAUCCUACAAUAUAU
rnacentral:lncRNA from 1 species